CUUGUACUCCCUCCGUUCGGAAUUACUUGUCAUAAAAAUGGAUAAAAAUGGAUGUUAUCUACAACUAAACCACAUCUAGAUACAUUCAUUUCUUGGACGAGUAAUUCCGAACGGAGGGAGUAUUUA
rfam:Triticum aestivum genome assembly, contig: Triticum_aestivum_CS42_TGACv1_scaffold_030413_1BL